CCGCCUCACAGACGCUGUCAAAGAUAGCAUAGCUGCUAAUCUCCGGUUAGCUAGCAUAGCUGCUAAUCGCCGGGAGAGGAGGACAGGUAAACAAUGGCGGGAGUGCAUCCUCAGGACGACCUGCUGAAGAUGACUCACAGAGAGAACUGGCGGGUUCAGCAUGAGCGCAUGCACGUGAAGCACAGGGGUCACGAGGCCAUGCACGCUGAGA